UACGUAGGGGGCAAGCGUUGUCCGGAUUUAUUGGGCGUAAAGAGCGUGUAGGCGGCCAGAUAGGUCUGUUGUGAAAACUCGAGGCUCAACCUCGAGACGCCGAUGGAAACCAUCUGGCUAGAGUCCGGAAGAGGAGAAUGGAAUUCCUGGUGUAGCGGUGAAAUGCGCAGAUAUCAGGAAGAACACCCGUGGCUAAGGCGGUUCUCUAGUACGGUACUGACGCUGAGACGCGAAAGCGUGGGGAGCGAACAGG
rnacentral:rRNA from 1 species